rnacentral:rRNA from 1 species
UCUAAAACCGGUCCCAGUUCGGAUUGUAGGCUGCAACUCGCCUACAUGAAGUUGGAGUUGCUAGUAAUCGCGAAUCAGAAUGUCGCGGUGAAUGCGUUCCCGGGUCUUGUACACACCGCCCGUCACACCAUGGAAGUUGGGGGCGCCCGAAGUUGGUCGGGAAAUAGAUUACCUAAGGCGAAACCAAUGACUGGGGUGAAGUCGUAACAAGGUAAC